UACGAAGGGGGGCUAGCGUUGUUCGGAAUUACUGGGCGUAAAGCGCACGUAGGCGGAUACUUAAGUCAGGGGUGAAAUCCCGGGGCUCAACCCCGGAACAGCCUUUGAUACUGGGUAUCUCGAGUCCGGAAGAGGUGAGUGGAAUUCCGAGUGUAGAGGUGAAAUUCGUAGAUAUUCGGAGGAACACCAGUGGCGAAGGCGGCUCACUGGUCCAUUACUGACGCUGAGGUGCGAAAGCGUGGGGAGCAAACAGG
rnacentral:rRNA from 1 species